CUGUCACCUCCUUGAGGGCAGAUCCACAGCUUCCUUCUCUGCAGCCCCGUCCACAGCAUCUGUUGUUUCUGAUGGGACUUCGCGGGCACCUGCAGGAAGGGCGGCUGCUGUGGAUGGUACGUGCUGGACGCCAGGCCAACCCUUUGCACAUGUGAUCUCAUCGACUCUCACAUCGACCGUGGAAGGCAUUUGGGCUUGAGCUUUAGGCCAGUGGUUCAGAACGACCUCCCUGGAACGCUGCAGCUUCCUCAGAGACUCCCCGGCAACCUGGAGAAUGAUAAACCAAAGGAGGUGGCCCCAGCCAGCCGGCGCCCAGCCACACCCUGGGCUCAGACAGGGGAGCUGCACUUCCAUUGGCUGUAUGGUGGACAAACUGAGGCUCAGCACUGAGGUCGGCUGCCAAAGACACACAGCAGCUAAACAGUGGAGCCAGGACAUGGAGCCAGGACAUGAACCCAGGGCCUGUGGCUCCGGAGCCUGCAUUCCCAACCACCCUCCCGGACGGCGCUUCCCAGCUGAAGGCGAGGGCCACAGGCCUGCAGCAGCCGUGAACGCCCACCUGAGGCCCUCCUGGCUGUGGGGCUUCAUGUGCACCAUUGUGAGGGCGCUGAGGCUCGCCGGGGGUCAAUAGACUGCCCAAGGUCACCCGGAGAGAGAGCACGGAGGCUGGAAUUUGCAUCCAGGCCCUUGACUCUGAAGUCUUUGAAGCACACCCACGAUGCCAGGACGUCAUGUUCCACCUGGACGGUACUUGCCCUGUUGGCCGCCCACAUGUGGCUAAGCUACACGCAGGCGUAGGAGGGGGCUGGCCGGCACAGAAUUCAGUGUCCCAGAAAGGGCCUGAUCCCAAGGGCCUUCAGUCUGUCAACAGCUAUUUAUCAAACACCUAAUGUGUACAUUGCCCUGCAGAUGCACCAAUGAUCAGGAAACACACAGUGGGCCCACACGGGGCUUUCAGGUGCAGGUGACAGAUCUCGUGGAGGACGGCGCAAGCAAGCUGACAGUCACUGGCGGCUAUUGGUACACUUACUUCUGUGUCCAUUUCCCUCACCUGGGACCCACUGUGCCCAGCAACUGAAGGGUUAAGGCCUGCCCAGCCUGGGGGCCGGCAUGACCCUGCUGCGGGGCUGCAGCCAGCACCCACUCCAAUAGGUUGUACCUGCUCCAUGCAGCGGUUUGGUAUUUUGUAUAUUACCCCCACGUGCAGGGGCUGUGAGAGC
rnacentral:lncRNA from 1 species